GAUGAAGAACGUAGCGAAAUGCGAUAAGUAGUGUGAAUUGGAGAAUUCAGUGAAUCAUCGAAUCUUUGAACGCACAUUGCGCCCCUUGGUAUUCCAUGGGGCAUGCCUGUUCGAGCGUCAUUUGUACCUUCAAGCUUUGCUUGGUGUUGGGUGUUUGUCUCGCCUUUGCGUGUAGACUCGCCUUAAAAUAAUUGGCAGCCGGCGUAUUGAUUUCGGAGCGCAGUACAUCUCGCGCUUUGCACUCAUAACGACAGCGUCCAAAAGUACAUUUUACACUCUUGACCUCGGAUCAGGUAGGGAUACCCGCUGAACUUAAGCAUAUCAAUAAGCGGAGGA
rnacentral:misc_RNA from 1 species